AUCCAGCUGACGAGUCGUAAGUAGGAUGAAACGUGCGUCUUGGAU
rfam:Schistosoma mansoni strain Puerto Rico chromosome W, complete genome